rnacentral:lncRNA from 1 species
ACAAAUGAAAUCUUUUCAUUGGUGUCCGUUCCGGUCUAUGAAAAGACCAAAGGUUCCCAGGUAAAGUACAGAAAGUGAAGUAUACAUUACAAGCCAUAUAGCAACAAGAAAACUAAGAUUUGCAUCCACUGCUGCAAAUAGAUUGUUGUUGUGUAGACAUAAUCUGCUCGAAUUGCAUCUUCCAAACAAACAAAUUUGAAACCCACCCAGCAUCGAUCCAUCCAUCCUCUGGGCUUUCACAAAUGAAAGGCCAUCAUUACCAUGGACCAAUCAUUCCUCUUCAGAUUCAAAAGGAACCUUGUCCAAAAACAAAACAUUGGAAUAGGCAGUGCAAUUUCUUGACAUCAAUCAACUCCCCUCCCCUUGCAUGAUUAUUAACUCACUGCUUGUACAUCAUAGAGCAAGGCCCUAUGGCUAGCGCACAUCUUUCAAUUAGUUCCACCAGCACGGACAACAUCCACAUACUAAAACUGGUCCUUAUACAGGUAGACGCAUGAAUUAGCCUUUCCUUUCACGACUUUUUACAUGAACAAGCAGUUGUGCAAGCGCGUAACAACUUCAUGGUCUGCUCCGGCAAGAUCACCUGUUGAGCAACAAUAUCAUGAGUAAGUCAUGCAUAAUAUCCAUGUAAUUUGCAAACAACAGAUAUAAAUAUAUGCAUCUAGCUUGCUCAACAUGCAAAGCAAAGCACUCCAAUGGUUCACUACAUAUUCGUGCAGGCACAACAUAAUCCUACAUCAUUAAUCAUGGAUUGGCAGUACAACAUUGUUGCCAGAAUGGCAUGGUUACGGCUGGAACCAGGACAAAAGGCUCAUUUUUCUUAGUUCCACACACGUACUCACAACACCCGGAUGUACUAGCAUAUAAAACCAUCACGGCAGCCAGCGAAAAACCAUAACUUUCAUGUCCUUACACUAAGAACAUGAUACAGAGCAACAACACAUCAUGUCUGAUAGGAUCAUUGGCCGUGUCACGAAAAAUGAAAGCAUACACGAGUAGAACUUGUACUUCAGCCAUAGUGCAAGUCAACAUGUGCAUAGAAAAUUGGUUAGAAGCUGCAACAAAAAUACCGCACAAGCAAAAAGUUCAGACUUUUGCAUGCAGCCUCUCCACAACAGAUCAAACUUAUGAAGAAACAUGAAGCAGCAGUGUACAGGACAGAACAAGCUAAUCUCCAAGAAAAUGGAUUAGCCCAUAAAGAUAACUUCUAAGCAGAGCCAAAUGUUAAAAACUUGAGUGUGGAAAUGCAGAUUCUGCAUGGUUCAGGAAAGGGAUGACUCAAACAUACAUACACAUUAACAGGCCAAGAUCUAUCUAGGACUUCCAUUUGCACCCAACAAAAUCACAUUGCCAACCCUUAGAAGUUCGACAACACGCAAUUCUCCCGAGUUUUUCAGCCUCUUCCAAAAAUCAGAGGUACUAGCGACCGGAUAGUUAAACUUUGUGGACGUUCGCGGACAAGCAGACACCAUCCACUUGCGUCCCUACUGGUAGAGUUGAAGAACAUGCAUGAAGCUAAUUUAUAAGUUAGAGAUCACAAUUUGUAAUGAGAUGAGGAGCGGUCACCUGUAAUGUGGCAAAAUGUGCAUAUUCUUCACAAAGUUGUUAUUUAAAAUUCUAUAGAUGACAGGUCCAGUUGCUUAGGUUCAAAAUUUCAGAAGAGAACAGAUGAGAGCAAGAUCUGCUACUAAGAAAGAAGCCCAAUCUUUACCUAUUAAUAAAGCGGCUAUCGCUUCUGGUCGUCCGUCGUUAAAAUUACCCUCCAUGUUGGUAAAAAUUACCCACCAAUGCCAC